UAGAGUUUGAUCAUGGCUCAGGACGAACGCUGGCGGCGUGCUUAACACAUGCAAGUCGAACGAGGGUAGCAAUACCCGAGUGGCGGACGGGUGAGUAACGCGUAGGUAACCUGCCUUCUAGUGGGGGAUACCCAGCCGAAAGGUUGGCUAAUACCGCAUGUCUUCGCAUCUUGGAAUAGGUGCGAGAAAAGAUUUAUCGCUAGAAGAGGGGCCUGCGUCCGAUUAGCUAGUUGGUGAGGUAACGGCUCACCAAGGCGACGAUCGGUAGCUGGUCUGAGAGGACGAUCAGCCACACUGGAACUGAGACACGGUCCAGACUCCUACGGGAGGCAGCAGUGGGGAAUUUUCCGCAAUGGGCGCAAGCCUGACGGAGCAACGCCGCGUGGAUGAUGAAGUCUUUCGGGACGUAAAAUCCUUUUGUGUGGGACGAAAUGGGGCAACCCUUGACGGUACCACAAGAAUAAGCAUCGGCUAACUACGUGCCAGCAGCCGCGGUAAUACGUAGGAUGCGAGCGUUGUCCGGAUUUAUUGGGCGUAAAGCGUGCGUAGGCGGUUCGCAAGGUCCGAGGUGAAAUCACGGGGCUCAACCCCGCUGGUGCCUUGGAAACCGGCGAGCUAGAGGACGGCAGAGGAAGGUGGAAUUCCCAGUGUAGCGGUGAAAUGCGUAGAUAUUGGGAGGAACACCGGUGGCGAAAGCGGCCUUCUGGGCCGAACCUGACGCUGAGGCACGAAAGCUCGGGGAGCAAACGGGAUUAGAUACCCCGGUAGUCCGAGCCGUAAACGAUGGAUGCUAGGUGUCUUGGGUAUCGACCCCCGCGGUGCCGCAGCUAACGCGUUAAGCAUCCCGCCUGGGGAGUACGGCCGCAAGGCUGAAACUCAAAGGAAUUGACGGGGGCCCGCACAAGCGGUGGAGCAUGUGGUUUAAUUCGAUGCAACGCGAAGAACCUUACCAAGGCUUGACAUGUCGCGAACCCUGAUGAAAGUCGGGGGUGCCGCAAGGAGCGCGAACACAGGUGGUGCAUGGCUGUCGUCAGCUCGUGUCGUGAGAUGUUGGGUUAAGUCCCGCAACGAGCGCAACCCUCGCUGUUAGUUGCCAACGGGUAAAGCCGGGCACUCUGGCAGGACUGCCGGUGACAAGCCGGAGGAAGGUGGGGAUGACGUCAAGUCAUCAUGCCCCUUAUGUCUUGGGCUACACACGUGCUACAAUGGUCGGGACAACAGGUUGCAAGACCGCGAGGUGGAGCCAAUCCCCAAACCCGGCCUCAGUUCAGAUAGCAGGCUGCAACUCGCCUGCUUGAAGGCGGAAUCGCUAGUAAUCGCGGAUCAGCACGCCGCGGUGAAUACGUUCCCGGGCCUUGUACACACCGCCCGUCACACCACGAAAGUUUGUUGUACCUGAAGUCGUUGCGCCAACCGCAAGGAGGCAGGCGCCCACGGUAUGACCGAUGAUUGGGGUGAAGUCGUAACAAGGUAACCGUAA
rnacentral:rRNA from 2 species